rnacentral:piRNA from 1 species
UCCUUGUAGACAGAAAAAUGA